AUUGAACGCUGGCGGCAUGCCUUACACAUGCAAGUCGAACGGCAGCACGGGAGCAAUCCUGGUGGCGAGUGGCGAACGGGUGAGUAAAGUAUCGGAACGUGCCCAGUCGUGGGGGAUAACGUAGCGAAAGUUACGCUAAUACCGCAUACGAUCUAUGGAUGAAAGCGGGGGAUCGCAAGACCUCGCGCGAUUGGAGCGGCCGAUAUCAGAUUAGGUAGUUGGUGGGGUAAAGGCUCACCAAGCCGACGAUCUGUAGCUGGUCUGAGAGGACGACCAGCCGCACUGGAACUGAGACACGGCCCAGACUCCUACGGGAGGCAGCAGUGGGGAAUUUUGGACAAUGGGCGAAAGCCUGAUCCAGCCAUGCCGCGUGCAGGAUGAAGGCCUUCGGGUUGUAAACUGCUUUUGUACGGAACGAAAAGGUUUGGGCUAAUAAGCUGAGCUCAUGACGGUACCGUAAGAAUAAGCACCGGCUAACUACGUGCCAGCCGCCGCAGUAA
rnacentral:rRNA from 1 species